rnacentral:ncRNA from 1 species
UGGAACUGCGGCUCAAUGGCAAGACCGUGACAUGCCCCCGAUCAGGCAGCCUCGCUUGACUCCCUCCAACACUGUAUCAUUUCGUUUAUUUUUUUCCGUUCAUUUCUCCUUUGUCGAGGUGCAGAAGCUGGUUCCUUCACAGAGGUUCACAGAUGUCCUUUUAGGCCCCCGUGAACAUGUUUCAGGAGUCGUUGAGAGUUCAAGACAGCGUGUGUGAGCUCGUGCUGAAUUGACCCAUAUGCGUUUUCUCUAAGUUGUAGUACGUCAUGCAGAGUGGCUUAUUGCUUUUGAAUAGAGCUGAUAUGCUUCGUCUUCGCUUUGCUGUCCAUGCAUUGAAAACAUGAGCGAGGGUUCCAGUAGGGGCCGGGACCAAGGCAGCCAAAUUUCUUGGCAUCUAGCUAAUGACGUGCAUGAAUGGAUAAACGCGAUUCCCACUGCCCCUAUCUGCUACCUAGCGAAACCACAGCCAAGGGAACGGGCUUGGUGGAGUAAGCAAGCAAAGAAGACACUGCUGUGCUUGACUCUAGUUCGACUUGGUGAAACGACUUGGGGGGUAUAGGAGGGAUAGGAUAUUAUGCGACAAGAAAUACAACCACAUGCAGUGUCAUUUUAUUUAUUCCGCAAAGUUGAGAAGCAUGUAACUCAUCUGUGUAGCCCUUAAGGCGUCCCUCAGAGUGCUGGUCAAUGCGAAAGCAACAGUCAGGUGUUGAGUUUGGCUGGCUGCUGCAUCAAUGAAACAGUAAUGCAGGUGUCGUAAGGAAAGCUCGUUGAUGACCGAAAUCUCCUGUUGACCAAAAGGGGGAACGAUAGGUUGAUUGUGAUGUUCAGCAAGGACGUAAAUUGCGAAAUCAUGGCCUGUCGAUCAUUUUGCUCUGUGUAACCUUCACGUACAGCCGUCAGAGAGGUUACUACAGGCAAAAGUGGCAUGUGGGGCCGUUCAGAGCAACGGUGUUUGUGGCGCUUUGAUGUCGACUCUUCCUGUUACUGAGGGGCAGACGUCUCAAAAUGCUGGUUUGUUCAUCCUGAUAUAUUGUGACUGAAGGCACCGAUGCCAGAUUCCACGGUUGCUACGUAGUGUUUCCCAUCGCUUCACCGGUUACUUGCGUGUGCACGUAGUACUUCGCGCACAACCACUGAGCAAGGCCAUUUUUGAUGUUUCUAGUCAUUUUAUUGCUGUUAAGACUGUAUGGGCGUUAGUUGAAGGGCGAGCAUGUCAGGCGCUAGGCAGCAACCGCAAUUCGCCACAUGUAGAGUGCUGCAUCUACUGCAGACAAUUUGGGUUUCAGUAGGUAGUGUAAGUCUGGGGGUAGGCUAGUCUGACAACCCACUAAUAUUUGGUCAGCAUUAAACGAUGU